AACGAACGCUGGCGGCAUGCCUAACACAUGCAAGUCGAACGAGACCUUCGGGUCUAGUGGCGCACGGGUGCGUAACGCGUGGGAACCUGCCCUUAGGUUCGGAAUAACUCCCCGAAAGGGGUGCUAAUACCGGAUAAUGUCUUCGGACCAAAGAUUUAUCGCCUUUGGAUGGGCCCGCGUUGGAUUAGCUAGUUGGUAGGGUAAAAGCCUACCAAGGCGACGAUCCAUAGCUGGUCUGAGAGGAUGAUCAGCCACACUGGGACUGAGACACGGCCCAGACUCCUACGGGAGGCAGCAGUGGGGAAUAUUGGAAAAUGGGCGAAAGCCUGAUCCAGCAAUGCCGCGUGAGUGAUGAAGGCAUUAGGGUUGUAAAGCUAUUUUACCCGGGAUGAUAAUGACAGUACCGGGAGAAUAAGCCCCGGCUAACUCCGUG
rnacentral:rRNA from 1 species